CGAUAGCUAUACCGCAUAACAGUAGAUAUCGCAUGAUAUUUGCUUGAAAGGUGCAAUUGCACCACUACCAGAUGGACCUGCGUUGUAUUAGCUAGUUGGUGAGGUAACGGCUCACCAAGGCAACGAUACAUAGCCGACCUGAGAGGGUGGAUCGGCCACACUGGGACUGAGACACGGCCCAG
rnacentral:rRNA from 1 species